UUAAGGAAUCUUUCUCAUAUAAUAAUGAUAUGAUUUUUUUUUCUUGGAUGUUUAUUAUAAGAUCAAUUAAUUGGAAAAUGAUUAUUAGGUUGGUCUUGAUGGGAAACGAGAACUGUCUAAAAAGUAUCAGCGAGAAGAUAGCAGGAACAGUAAGGGGUAUUGUGCCUGUGGAGAUUGUAGGAAUGGAUAUGGAGGAGGAAAGGGAGGGAGCUUUUGAUGACGCAGUGUGUGAGGCAUGCAGGAUUUUGGGGAAUUUGGAUGCUUUUGUACAUUGCUACGACUAUGAAGGUAUUAUCUGUAACCUUUUUUUCCUCUUUGGACUAUUAAUUUUUUAAUAACGAAAGUAAAGAAGGGAGAGACAAUUAAAAAGUCAGGUCAUCCAAUAUGGAUAGUUAAUUGGUCGAUGGACAAUAGACUAAUAGAAUAGAAUUUGGAACUUACAAGGUAAAACACUAUUGCUGCCAUACACGGAAAGGUUGAAAAAUUCCCAAUCUUUUGUAGAAGGGAACAGAAGACUUGGUGGGUUGGGGAAGGAAAGUCAAGGUGGGUACUUGAACUAUACUUGGUAAGAAACUUGAAGGAAAAAGAGGGUAGAGUAUUUCCACUUAUUUGGUCCAAGUAUGCAAGGAAAAAGAGAAAAAAUUAUAGGGACGAGAUGCAAAAUGAAGGAUUAUUUUAAAAGUUUGGGAAAACGAAAAUUAAGGUUCCAAAUUGUGUAUGACAAGAAACGAAGUAUAACAAAAUUUCCCAUUCUGUUUUCAUAAUUAUUUAAAAUAUUUUAUGUUUAUUCAAUGAUUUGGAACCAACUGCAAAGUCCAAAGAGAACAGACACUACUAUGUUUGGAUUUCAGUUGCCUUUUUGAUGUGUUAUUUAAUUUUUACCCUUUGAAUUGGAAAGUAGAUAUCAGUUUUUUUACUUGCUCAUUGAAGCAGACGUGCAUAGAACUCGUGUAAUUAGUGAAUUUGGCAUCCAUGAUACUGAAAAAUUAUAGAAUUAGAAUGGCCAUGUUGCACGGUGAUAGUAAUUGCAUUCACUACCACUUCAUGUGGAUUAUGUGAAAUCAUUGACCAAUAAUUUCCCUCUCUUCAUAUUUUAGUAGUAAAC
rnacentral:misc_RNA from 1 species